rnacentral:rRNA from 1 species
UGGGGAAUUUUGGACAAUGGGCGCAAGCCUGAUCCAGCCAUGCCGCGUGAGUGAAGAAGGCCUUCGGGUUGUAAAGCUCUUUCGGACGGGAAGAAAUGGCGGGCUCUAACAUAGCCUGUCGAUGACGGUACCGUAAGAAGAAGCACCGGCUAACUACGUGCCAGCAGCCGCGGUAAUACGUAGGGUGCGAGCGUUAAUCGGAAUUACUGGGCGUAAAGCGUGCGCAGGCGGUUUUGUAAGACAGAUGUGA